CGUGCAUUUCUGUUGCCGCUCCCGCCAGCCCGAUGAUCGUUCUCAAACCUACUGACGUGGUUCAAAUGGAUUACGUGCCAUAUUUUGUUAGUUGACAUCCGAGUUUUAAGUAACAUGAUUAUGGAAUUAAUCCGCAAAUGUAGAAGAAUGUAUUCAAAGUUAAAAUUCAGUGGCAGAGCAGAUUAUUUUUAUCAGAGCUGUAAAGAAAACUAUUCUCUCCCCGCCAUCACCACUCCUGCCCUAUCCUUGGCCCGGAAACCAAAUGUGAAUUCUCUGUUUCCCACCUCAGUAACUAGUCCAAGCCAGGACACCAGCUGACAAUUUCUUGGUUUUGUUGUCAAUAAUUGUACCAUGUGAUAAAUUACUGUCCUCACUUAGAACAAAGCCUGAGUCCAAGAAUAUUUAUAUUUUGCCAAUAUAUGCCUGUUACAAGAGAAGGAAAUAUGAGUUAUUUAAGUUUAACUUUUUUAUGUGAAUUCAGAGUUUAUUUAUCGAUGGAAAUAUGUACAAAGAAGCUUCAAAUGGAAUAUUUACCGACAUUCCUUAUAAAUUACAGACACUUGGCUAAAUGGAAAGAUGAUGUUAAUAAUAAAAUGAUUUUUAAAUGGACCCACAGCUUGUGUUUUUUCAUGAAAACCCACAGACCACAGAGAGCCUAAGACUCAGUUCAUAGAAUAGGGAGCUUUUGGUGUCUGGGGGCUGCCCUGGACAGGUCAGCCCUUGGAAUGAGGAGGUCUGGCCCUCAUGUUAGUGGGGCAAUUCUCCUUUCCCGUGUUGCCUGAAAUUGGAGCUUGUGACUCAGGCCUGGCCAGUCACCAUCUAGCUGUUCCCUUCAACAGACGAUCAGGAGUGAGCAUGUGACCUGAAGUGGUCCAGUUAGGAUGGGAGCUGCAAGGAAAGGCCGUCCCUCUCCCCCUGGACUUGAACCUGAGUUGUGAGGCUGUAACAACAGCAGCCCUCUUGCCACCAUGAGGAGAGGGCGUAUGAGGGGCUUGGAGCAGAACAUGAAGCUGAAGUCUCCACCCAACAGAUUGGACAGUAAAGAGUAGACACCAAGAACCAGAGAGAAGUUGAGAAGGCCUCCCUAAUCCCCCAGAGCUGAUUGGCUGAGCAUCAGUGUGGUGGCCCCACAUUGCCGGGAGCACCCUGAAGCCUUGAGAGCCCCUGCCUAAGCUGGGCGUGACCUCCCUGACUCACUGAGCAGGCUGGUGAGGGUGCAGCUGAUGUCUGGGGAGAGACUGCAGGCAAAAGCUCCCUGUGGGCAGGGUAGGUAGGCAUCCCAAUCUCAGCGCUGCCACAGCAGGCAGCCUCCCAUGGGUGGUCAUAGUCAUGGGACCUGCAGUGUGAGCCACUGGCAAGAAACGGUGCCCAGUGGGGCAGUGGGUAGCCCUGGCUAGAGGGUGAGCACCCAGCCUGAGAUCCUGUGCAGAACUGUGGUGGCAGACCCCUCCCCAGCUCAGGACUGAGAAGGCAGGAGACCAGGCCCACCCCCCGAGGAUAACGGUCCGCUUUCCAUACCAGCCACUCUCUCCCAGGCCAGCUCCGUGCCAGGACUUAACCUUGGAAAAUCCUGUGCACACCAGACUGUGCUGAUGGUUCCUGCCUGCCUGUCCGGCAUCGUCCCCUCCAGAGCAUCCCACCUCUCGGGAGAGCCCAGUCUCCAUCCACAUGGCUCAAGGGUGAACUCGAAGGUCCAGUCUUUUCAUCCAGAACCAUAGAGCCUUAUACUUUAGUGAUGGUAAGAUGGGCUCAAUAAAGGACAGAAAUGGUCUGGACCUGACAGAAGCAGA
rnacentral:lncRNA from 1 species